GAUGAACGCUAGCGGGAGGCCUAAUACAUGCAAGUCGAACGGUAACAGGGUAGCAAUACCGCUGACGAGUGGCGCACGGGUGAGUAACACGUACACAACCUGCCUUGUACUGGAGCAUAGCCUUGGGAAACUAAGAUUAAUUCUCCAUAAUAUUACUAAGCGGCUUCGCUUUGUAUUUAAAUUUCCGAGGGUAUAAGAGGGGUGUGUGUCUGAUUAGCUAGUUGACGAGGUAACGGCUCACCAAGGCAAAGAUCAGUAACUGUUCGGAGAGGAUGAUCAGUCACACGGGCACUGAGACACGGGCCCGACUCCUACGGGAGGCAGCAGUAGGGAAUAUUGGACGAUGGGCGCAAGCCUGAUCCAGCCAUCCCGCGUGAAGGAUUAAGGCCCUGUGGGUUGUAAACUUCUUUUCUCUGGGAAUAAAAACCGGUAUUCAUACUGGCUUGAAGGUACCAGAGGAAUAAGCACCGGCUAACUCCGUGCCAGCAGCCGCAGUAA
rnacentral:rRNA from 1 species